rnacentral:tRNA from 1 species
AUUUAUAUAGUUUAUUGUAAAACACUUCAUUUUCAAUGAAGAAAUGAAUUUAUAUUCUAUAAAUA